rnacentral:snoRNA from 1 species
AAGUCUAUACUUUCAGGAGUCAUUUCUAUAGUUUGUUACUAGUUUCGCUGAACAUGUAGAGCACAGAAAACCACCAGGAGGAGGUAUAACAUUCUCUCUUGAGCUUGAAGCUGGUUCUUGGUGUUGCUUCACUGCAUCUGCAAUUUGCUAUUGAUUUUUCUUCUCUUCCUUCCAGAGAGUAGAGGGAGAAGAUGCGGGAUGAGUGGG